rnacentral:tRNA from 5 species
GGGCGCAUAGCUCAGUUGGGAGAGCACCUGCCUUACAAGCAGGGGGUCAUAGGUUCGAGCCCUAUUGUGCCCACCA